rnacentral:lncRNA from 1 species
CUCAUAGAAAAUCUGACACAGGCCUGAAAAUAGAAGUAUAGGCUGCGCUAUUUGUAUCUCUCAAAUCUUCUUUUUUUCUCCAUAUAUAUCUGUUCAUUCAUUCAUUCAUUCAUUCAUUUGCUGUUGAAGUGGCCAGAGGAUAAACCUAGAUAUUCACUUAUGCCAUCAUCCUGCUAUUAGAGCCCUGACUGGUCUUUUCCCAUAUUGCAGACACUUUCAAGCUCGCUGAGAUUUCUGUGGACCAUUUCCAUUUACUUGGCUAUGAGAUGGGUUGGGGACAAAAUUCUGGAUAUACCAUCCCCUUCUCUAUGGCAGAGGGAGGAAAUGGCUUCAUGCCUUGGCUGCUGAACUUCCACCAGAGAAAAUUGAAUGGUUUAGUAAAUUGAAAGUGGCAAGUGGAAACACAGCGCUCUCCGUUUUGCAGCAACGGUGUUUAGUGUGGCAGCUCCCAGUCUAAGAUCUUCCACAGAAUCUGUGAAAGGAAAAUACUACUAAUUUCAAAUCUCCAUAAAUAUCUUAACGGAUGACCGGCACAAGCGGGUGGACAAGCCAGAAGGUAGGGACCGCGCAGCUGAAACUGCGCUCAGUCAGCUGGAACCACCACGAAACCUACGCAAGCCACGCAAGCUACGCCACCUAUGGAGGUCGUUGGUAGGUGGGCCCUGCGCUGGCGCAUGUGCGUCGUGAACAGCCUGAACCACGCCUGCAGCCGCAGUGGGGAUGUCAAGGACGCCUGGCCUGCUAGUCACCACGGUCGUUCCCAGAGCCACUCUGGACCCGCUCGCCUGUGCCUGUGCCAGAUUCUGAGAGUGAGAAGAGCCAGGAGCCCAGGUGUUCCUGAAAUGUGAGAGACAUCAUGAACAGGAACAACAAAAAAGGCAGUUGAUUGUAUUCUGUGAAUUAAUAGAGAUGGCAGUGGAGGUAGGGCUUGGUCAAAAAUCCAUCUGGGGUUGCCAGUGCCAGUCCUUGGAAUUCUCUCAUAAAUGAAUCAAUUAUUAAAAAUAUAUUGACUACACCCUUAAAAUUGCUUUAAAUUAUUAAUCCUUUAAAGAUGGAAUAUUUUGUUAAAAAUUAAUAUAAUUCAGCAAACUCGUGCCUAAUAUUAGCAUACUAAUGUUCAUUAGUAUCAUUUUAUCUUUUAUGUGGUUCUGAACUGAGAACAUGUUUUAAAGAUGGGAGUAGUGAAAACAGUUUAGUAGAGGAAAUUUUUCAUGGAGUCCAGUUAUGUACAGAGAGUGGUAAAUAGUGAGGGAAAAAGUAACCAAACAAUUAUGACACUUGGGAGAUUGUGUUUUAUGAAGUCAGGGGAAGAGCACUGGGAUGAAGGUAGGAAAAUGUUCCAGUCAAGGCUUCUUCAUUUGUAAUUGCCCUUUGGUCUGCUCUCAUCACUUAAGAUGGUUGCUUUCUUAAGAAGGUCACUUCCCUAAGGCUAAUAAGUCAC